CCUACGGGGGGCAGCAGUGGGGAAUAUUGGACAAUGGGGGGAACCCUGAUCCAGCCAUGCCGCGUGUGUGAAGAAGGCCCUCGGGUUGUAAAGCACUUUCAGUGAGGAAGAACGCCUGGUGGUUAAUACCCAUCAGGAAAGACAUCACUCACAGAAGAAGCACCGGCUAACUCCGUGCCAGCAGCCGCGGUAAUACGGAGGGUGCGAGCGUUAAUCGGAAUUACUGGGCGUAAAGCGCGCGUAGGUGGCUUGAUAAGCCGGUUGUGAAAGCCCCGGGCUCAACCUGGGAACGGCAUCCGGAACUGCAAAGCUAGAGUGCAGGAGAGGAAGGUAGAAUUCCCGGUGUAGCGGUGAAAUGCGUAGAGAUCGGGAGGAAUACCAGUGGCGAAGGCGGCCUUCUGGACUGACACUGACACUGAGGUGCGAAAGCGUGGGUAGCAAACAGGAUUAGAUACCCCGGUAGUC
rnacentral:rRNA from 1 species